GUCCCUGUAGCUCAGUUGGAUAGAGCGGCUGCCUUCUAAGCAGCGGGUCGCGGGUUCGAAUCCUGCCAGGGACGCCA
rnacentral:tRNA from 2 species